rnacentral:lncRNA from 1 species
GGUGCGGAAUAGUUUUAAGUAAUUAAACCAGGAGUAAUUUCAGUUGUGUGAUCUUGUUGUUCAGGACACUUGAGCUUUUCUGAAGUUGUCUAUUUUUCUUCUUUAAAAUGUGAUUCUUUGGUUCUUCGGUUAAAAGUUGUUGAUGGCUGCUGGCUUUAGACAUUAAUAGGGAUAGUCAAGUCUACCCAUACAUUUCUGUACACAUAGCAGUGCACCAUAUGUCUGGCAUCCUUGAAGCUGAAGAUGUUGUUCCCUCCAUCCUAAAUUACUAUUCAUUUUAACUUUUCUAGAUAC